rnacentral:rRNA from 1 species
UACGGGAGGCAGCAGUGGGGAAUAUUGCACAAUGGGCGAAAGCCUGAUGCAGCUAUGCCGCGUGUAUGAAGAAGGCCUUAGGGUUGUAAAGUACUUUCAUCGGGGAGGAAAAAACAAAACUAAUAAUUUUAUUUCUUGACGUUACCCGAAAAAGAAGCACCGGCUAACUCCGUGCCAGCAGCCGCGGUAAUACGGAGGGUGCUAGCGUUAAUCAGAAUUACUGGGCGUAAAGAGCACGUAGGUGGUUUUUUUAAGUCAGAUGUGAAAUCCCUGGGCUUAACCUAGGAACUGCAUUUUGAAACUGAAAUACUAGAGUAUCGUAGAGGGAGGUAGAAUUCUAGGUGUAGCGGUGAAAUGCGUAGAUAUCUGGAGGAAUACCUGUGGCGAAAGCGGCCUCCUAAACGAAUACUGACACUGGAGUGACGAAGCGGUGGGAGCAAACGAGGUAUUAGACUACCCUCGUGACGUACGUCGACCGGAAGGCCAACAACGGAGGGGUAGUAGG